AUGAGCGGACCUGAUACGCGGUUCAAACACCUGCGGAAGAGUGUUCCUAUUCGAGCUAGAGGUCGAGGUCGAGGUAGAGGACGUGGUUUUGUCCCCGUGGAUGAACCCCACACAAGUGGUUUCAAUGCGAUGCAAAAUCAGAUGAUUCCCUUUGUAGGACCCCGUCUUCAUGUACUUCAUGAUGACAUGUUUGACUGGCAUCAGGAGGAGAAUGUAAAUGGUAGGAUUUCUUCAGCAGAUGAUGAUGAUCAAUUUGAGUCCGUGGAAUUCAAUUCAAUUUAUUCGUCUCACAAUCAGCGUGCUCAAUCUGAAGCGCCAGCCUCAGAUAUCCAACUCCUCGUCAAUGAGAUAAGAGAAUUGAAGAUGUCACUUCCAACUAUCGUUAAGUGUGAAAUUGACCGUCAAAUUUCUGAAAGUGUAGGUAGAGCACCAACUUCACUUCCUGAGAAUGCGGAAAGAGCUCCUUCUGCUGCUCGAGUGUCUACUAAUUCUUUUCCUAUAAUGCCACAACCCUCUGUAAACGUUACAGUUCCAAAUCGUCAUAAUAAGGUCAACCACUCAUCAGUGGCGAGUGCCGUUUCAAACAGUAACAUUUCUCCUAAGUCCAGUAAUUACAAGUCAUCUUAUCGCUCCUCUAUUAAGUUGAAAGAUUUGCCUGCCUUUAAUGGAGAAUUGUCUCCAGUACAUCCUGUAGAAUUUGUAGAAUCGGUUACCACAUUUUAUGGAGCAUCGGACGUACCUGAUCAAGUAAAACUUCAGGAAAUAAUGCAGAUUCUAAAAGGUAAAGCAUUGACUUGGUAUAAUGUUAAUAAGUUGAAACACUCUAGCUUUGAGCAAUUUUCAGAGGCUCUCCUCAAAUAUUUUUGGGGUGACCAAGUGCAGGAUAAUGUCAGGGCGCUUUUGUUCACUCCUAAUCAAUAUAAAAAGGGUGGCCUGGAUAUGACCAGCUAUUUUCUAAACUAUGUUCAUAGGGCACAAUAUUUGGACCCGCCUGUUCAAGAAUCAUUACUUGUGUCCACAAUUCUUCGCCAUUUCCCAUCGGGUGUGCGGAGAAAUCUACAUUUAUCUGCAUGCCAGACCAUUGAUGUAACCUUAGAGCAACUACGCCUUUUGGAGGCUGAUCCCGAACUUUCUGUCAGUGUCCCAAUGUUUCCCAACCAGCACCAUCUCGGAAUCAGCCCAACCCUGCUUGGCCCCAAGCCAAAAAAGCUUAUGGGACCAAUCAGGUUUCAGUGGACCCAAGUGUGCAUAUUGAUGUUUCGAUCCCUCCGCCAAGUUUCGAAACUGAGGCUAGUCAAUGCACGUCUUUAA
rnacentral:lncRNA from 1 species